rnacentral:rRNA from 1 species
CGGAGGGUGCAAGCGUUAUCCGGAAUCACUGGGUUUAAAGGGUGCGUAGGCGGUUUUAUAAGUCAGGGGUGAAAGCAUGCAGCUUAACUGUAUAAUUGCCUUUGAUACUGUAAGACUUGAAUAAGGUUGAGGUUGGCGGAAUGUGACAUGUAGCGGUGAAAUGCUUAGAUAUGUCAUAGAACACCGAUUGCGAAGGCAGCUGACUGGGCCUUUAUUGACGCUGAGGCACGAAAGCGUGGGGAGCGAACAGGAUU